UCGUCGCCAUGCGACUCGACCAGAAUGACACACUGCAAACAAGAGUCAAACAAUUUGUUAUGUCGCGUACAAACAGUAUUUGAUCUACUACGAAACCCAAAAGGAGCGCAAGUCACCACGUGAUUCAAUGAUAUACCUGGGAUGCCCCCGCUCUCCAGUUUCGUUUGUAAUGUUUCAGGAGUCUUCUAACUUGCACGGUAGAAGCGCGUGAAAAGACCUGGGUUUAAAGUGGCAUUCGCUCUUGUAUAAGCAUGGAGAGAGAGAGCGUAAAGGAAAGGACUGCCGGGACCGAUUUAGACAGGGACCAGCAGUUUUGUGAGCUUUGUGGAAAGAUGGAAAACCUGCUUAAAUGUGGACGGUGUCGGAACUCUUUCUAUUGUAGUAAAGAACACCAGAAAGCGGACUGGAAGAAGCACAAGCAGUUUUGUAAAGAGGCCGAGAAACCUCAGUGUCAGCCACAGCCCGAAUCAACACAACAGCCCGCACGGACUGCGAAAGGAGGACAAGACUCGCAGCUAAAAAAGAAAAGCACAGAACAACAGAAUAAAACAGCUUCUCAGAGCACCACAAACACUGGGCUUUCAAAUCCGCCUGCAGGUGGCGAAAGAAUGAAAGAUUUGAUCACUUCAGUAACUCGCCCGGGUAGUGUGUCUGACAGCAAGCAGACUGGGGAAGGAAUUAAACUCAGCUCUAAGACCAACGGACAAACGAUGUCCCCCCCGCUAAAACUGGCUAUGGACUAUAUUGUUCCAUGUAUGAAUAAGCAUGGCAUUUGUGUUGUUGACAAUUUUCUUGGAGAAGAGACUGGACUGAGUAUUCUGGAGGAUGUGAGAGCCCUCCACAAGACUGGUAAAUUUACUGAUGGGCAGUUGGUGAGUCAAAGAAGUGACUCCACUAAAGAUAUACGAGGAGACAAAAUAACCUGGACUGAAGGAAGAGAACCUGGUUGUGAGAAGAUAGCCUUUCUCAUGAGCCGCAUGGAUGACAUGGUCCGACACUGUAAUGGUAAACUGGGAAACUACAGAAUAAAUGGAAGGACGAAAGCCAUGGUGGCCUGUUACCCAGGCAACGGGACUGGGUAUGUACGUCACGUGGAUAACCCGAACGGCGAUGGGAGAUGUGUAACGUGUAUUUACUAUCUCAAUAAAGACUGGGAGGCUAAGAAACACGGAGGAAUCCUGAGGAUUUUCCCAGAGGCCAAGGCGCAAUUCGUCGACAUCGAACCCAAGUUCGACCGCCUGCUCUUCUUCUGGUCGGACCGGCGGAACCCCCAUGAGGUGCAGCCGGCAUACCACACCAGGUAUGCCAUAACAGUGUGGUAUUUUGAUGCCGAUGAACGAGCUCGGGCCAAGGAGAAAUAUCUAACAAGUAACCAUGGUUGACAGAGGAAGAACAAUGAUUCCAAGCACCAUCCUCCUUUUGAAGCUUCCAGUCUGUUAUUCGAACUCAAUCAGCAUGACAGGGUGAUCUCCAGCCUUGUUAUCGUCAACACUCACACCUGUGUUAAUUUAAUGAGAGAAUCACUGACAUGAUGUCGGCAUGGCUGAAAUGCAAUGGAAAUGUUUUUUUGGGAUUCAGUUCAUUUGCAUGGCAAAGAGGGACUUUGCAAUUAAUUGCAAUUCAUCUGAUCACUCUUCAUAACAUUCUGGAAUAUAUGCAAAUUGCCAUCAUGCAGACUUUGUGAAAAUUUAUAUUUGUGUCAUUCAAAACUUUUGGCCACGACUGUAUAAAUACUGAGAUCAUGUUACACUUAGAUUGUACACAGGUGGACUUUAUUUAACUAACUAUGUGACGUCUGAAGGCUGUCUAUCGUUGUCUCUGAUUGAGGACCAUACUUAGGUAGCCUUUUUUCCACCUGUGUUUUGUGGGUAGUUGUUUUCUGUUUUGUGUCUGCACCAGACAGAACUGUUUCGCUUUCGUUCUCCUGUUUGUUGUUUUUGUUCGAUUUGUUUUUUUGGAUGAAAUCAUGAACACUUUAAACGCUGCACCUUGGUCCACUCUUCCUUCAGCCCACGAGAACCGUUACAACCAGCUCUUAUUUAGGGGCUUCAUAGCAAAGGAGGUGCAGGAGAAAAGGGAGUAAACGUAGAAUUGAACAAGCCGUCGGAUCUGAGCUAAUAUGAGAGAAGCGUCCUGCCAUCACCUGCUGCUGCUGUGGACAGAUGGGGAAAGAGGGAUGGAUGGCGGGAUAGAGGGAAGGAAAAAGGAUGGUGGGAUGAAGAGGAGAGACGAAAGAAACCAUCUUGGAUUAGUCCGCGUUCUUUAAACUUUAAUAUUCAAAGUUGACACACACAGACCCUGAAUGUGAUGUCAUUGCACUGCAAGGAAUCAUCAUUAUUUGCCAAGUUUCUGUUUUUGCUUGUUGCUUUGAUUUUUGGGCUUUAUUAUGUGAAGAAUACCGGUGUAAAAAUGAGCUAUGGAGAAAAAUAAUAUGUAUUAAGUGAACCGAAACCCAAACAAAUAUUGUUGUGAAUUUUGGGGUGCUGAAAGAUAUACCCAUAUGUCAGACGGGUUGUCAUGGUCUCCAUCGGAUGGAUCUCUCACUGUUAUAAAAAAAAAAAAAGGUACAAAAGACUGUGCGUGAUGUUCCUAGACAGGAGGUUGCGGCGCACUAUAGGGCUGACUCAAACCAUACUGCGCUAAUUUGGAUACGUUCUUUUCACAUGAUCCUUUGCAUCACUAGUAGUAAAUGAGGAUGAUGAGUAACCACGCCAGACCAGUACAACUAGUAUUGGGCCGGUUUGGCUUAGUUGCGUGAAAAGGCUAUUAAUAGCUUGAGCUGCACUGACUCGAAUAAGAUAGAAGUUUUCACAUUUUUUGCAAACUGCGGUAGUGAUUUUCACAUUGCAGGUAUAUUAUAUUGACUGCGGGGCUGUUUUGUGUCCUGGCACUCAUUGCUUGGUAACUGGGUCUUGUUCAUUAGGCACCAAACAGAAGAAAAUGGACUGAAACUGACAUGCUCGUUUUCCGUUGCAAAACUGUUGUUGCAGACGUUAAUAUCACCUUUGUCUUAAAAACCAAAAACUGUUGAAUUUUUUGUAAAAAGUUGGGGUUUGUUAGUGCAGUUUGAGUCUACUGCUGUAUGGUCUCAUCAUUACAGCGCGUGUGUGUGUGUAUCUGCACGUAUGCAAUGUGUGCGAUUCCUUCUCUAACCACUGAGCCGAGGUUGAACGUGAGUGAGAGAGACUGUAAUAAUACCGUCAUGACUAUUCUCUCUGGCUAUACACCAUCGCCAUCAUGUGGUCACAUCUGACCAAUGAGUUUAUCAACAGGAGAAUUGGCAGACCUAACUGAAUGCGGCAGGUAUCCUAGCGGUUAAGAGUGUUGGGCUAGUAUCUGAACGCUCGCUGGUUUGAAUCCCAGAGCUGGGGUGGAAAAAUCUGUCUUUCUGCCCUUGACUAAGGCAAUAACACCCAACAACAACUGCGCCGUUGACGUCGAUUAAGGCAGCCCCCCGCACAUCUCUGAUUCAGUGGGGUUGGGUAACUGAUUAGGUUUUCCAUUUCUCCAUCCACCCUAAAACAUACCAAAGAAUCCUCGCAUGUGAUUUUGUUCAAACUGUAUUUAUUUGUCAUUGAUCUAUUCAUUUAUCAAUAAAUCAGUUGACAAGUAAAUAAGACAACAUUUAGAGAACAAUGUAUGUAUGUGUUGUUUGCAUCAACUUUAAAAUAUAAAUUCCAGUAUGUAAUUACAGACGUUUCGAUUGGUUCCAUUGUAAAGGGCAAGCUCAAUCAAGCACAGCUGAAAUAUACUUUUUUUCACCCAUGUCUGAAUAUAUCCCUUCAUUGCAGA